rnacentral:rRNA from 1 species
ACGGAAGGCAGCAGUGGGGAAUAUUGCACAAUGGGGGAAACCCUGAUGCAGCGACGCCGCGUGAGCGAAGAAGUAUUUCGGUAUGUAAAGCUCUAUCAGCAGGGAAGAAAUUGACGGUACCUGACUAAGAAGCCCCGGCUAACUACGUGCCAGCAGCCGCGGUAAUACGUAGGGGGCAAGCGUUAUCCGGAUUUACUGGGUGUAAAGGGAGCGUAGACGGUCGUGCAAGUCUGAAGUGAAAGCUUGUGGCUUAACCAUGGAACUGCUUUGGAAACUGUACGACUAGAGUGCCGGAGGGGUAAGCGGAAUUCCUAGUGUAGCGGUGAAAUGCGUAGAUAUUAGGAAGAACACCGGUGGCGAAGGCGGCUUACUGGACGGUAACUGACGUUGAGGCUCGAAAGCGUGGGGAGCAAACAGGAUUAGAUACCCUGGUA